GGGACUGCCGGGGGCCCUUACUAAUGCUAGUCUACCGACAUGAACUCGGGAGCUUGCUCCUUUGAAUCUAGCGGCCCAUGGGUGAUAAACACGUGGGUAACCUGCCCAUAUGACUGGCAUAACUCCGCGAAACCGGGGCUAAUACCGGAUAACCUUUUGAACCGCAUGGUUCGAUAUUGAAAGGCGGUUUCGCUUGUCACUUAUGGAUGGACCCGCGCCGCAUUAGCUAGUUGGUGAGGUACCGGCUCACCAAGGCAACGAUGCUUAGCCGACCUGCAAGGGUGAUCGGCCACACUGCGACUGAGACACGGCCCAGACUCCUACGGGAGGCAGCAUUAGGGAAUCUUCCGCAAUGGACGAAAGUCUGACGGACCAACGCCGCGUGAGUGAUGAAGGCUUUCGGGUCGUAAAACUCUGUUGUUAGGGAAGAACAAGUGCUAGUUGAAUAAGCUGGCUCCUUGACGGUACCUAACCAGAAAGCCACGGCUAACUACGUGCCAGCAGCCGCGGUAAUCCGUAGGUGGACAGCGUUAUCCGGAAUUAUUGGGCGUUAAGCGCGCGCAGGCGGUUUCUUAAGUCUGAUGUGAAAGCCCACGGCUCAUCCGUGUAGGGUCAUUGGAAACUGGGAGACUUGAGUGCAGAAGAGGACAGUGGAAUUCCAUGUGUAGCGGUGAAAUGCGUAGAGAUAUGGAGGAACACCAGUGGCGAAGGCGACUUUCUGGUCUGUAACUGACUCUGAAGGGGCGAAAGCGUGGGGAGUAAACCCGAUUAAAUACCCUGGCAGGCCCGCCGCAAACGAUGAGUGCUAACU
rnacentral:rRNA from 1 species